rnacentral:rRNA from 1 species
GACGUAGGGCGCGAGCGUUGUCCGGAUUUAUUGGGCGUAAAGAGCUCGUAGGCGGCUUGUCGCGUCGACUGUGAAAACCCGCGGCUCAACUGCGGGCUUGCAGUCGAUACGGGCAGACUUGAGUACUGCAGGGGGAGACUGGAAUUCCUGGUGUAGCGGUGGAAUGCGCAGAUAUCAGGAGGAACACCGGUGGCGAAGGCGGGGUCUCUGGGCAGUAACUGACGCUGAGGAGCGAAAGCGUGGGGGAGCGAACAGG